GGGAUCCGUGCUGGAGGGCAGAUGGUUGAUCCAACUCCUCCGGUUUCCCCUGGCCAUAUUCAUGAUGCCCCGCAUCAGUGCAGAAGGUCCUGAGAGGUUUGGCCCUUGAGGUGCCCAAGAGCUACUGCAGAGCGAGGACAUGGAUGAGAGCCUGAGGUCCUCUGAGGAGUGUUGCUGAGCACCUGUGGGGCUGGAGAUGGCGGCGACAAGUGGCAUCAUGUGAAGACUCGAGAGUUGUUGGACACAGAGAGUGACCUGUCUCUCCUUGGCUUUCCAGAGCCAAUGGCUGUGUGGAACAUGGUGGCUGCCCUGGAUCAACAGCACCUUCUGCAGCUCCAGGGCGUCCAGAUUCACUCGCACCCUCGUCUCCUUUGAGAGCGUGCCCAGAGGGAUCCGUGCUGGAGGGCAGAUGGUUGAUCCAACUCCUCCGGUUUCCCCUGGCCAUAUUCAUGAUGCCCCGCAUCAGUGCAGAAGGUCCUGAGAGGUUUGGCCCUUGAGGUGCCCAAGAGCUACUGCAGAGCGAGGACAUGGAUGAGAGCCUGAGGUCCUCUGAGGAGUGUUGCUGAGCACCUGUGGGGCUGGAGAUGGCGGCGACAAGUGGCAUCGUGUGAAGACUCGAGAGUUGUUGGACACAGAGAGUGACCUGUCUCUCCUUGGCUUUCCAGAGCCAAUGGCUGUGUGGAACAUGGUGGCUGCCCUGGAUCAACAGCACCUUCUGCAGCACCAGGGCGUCCAGAUUCACUCGCACCCUCGUCUCCUUUGAGAGCGUGCCCAGAGGGAUCCGUGCUGGAGGGCAGAUGGUUGAUCCAACUCCUCCGGUUUCCCCUGGCCAUAUUCAUGAUGCCCCGCAUCAGUGCAGAAGGUCCUGAGAGGUUUGGCCCUUGAGGUGCCCAAGAGCUACUGCAGAGCGAGGACAUGGAUGAGAGCCUGAGGUCCUCUGAGGAGUGUUGCUGAGCACCUGUGGGGCUGGAGAUGGCGGCGACAAGUGGCAUCGUGUGAAGACUCGAGAGUUGUUGGACACAGAGAGUGACCUGUCUCUCCUUGGCUUUCCAGAGCCAAUGGCUGUGUGGAACAUGGUGGCUGCCCUGGAUCAACAGCACCUUCUGCAGCACCAGGGCGUCCAGAUUCACUCACACCCUCGUCUCCUUUGAGAGCGUGCCCAGAGGGAUCCGUGCUGGAGGGCAGAUGGUUGAUCCAACUCCUCCGGUUUCCCCUGGCCAUAUUCAUGAUGCCCCGCAUCAGUGCAGAAGGUCCUGAGAGGUUUGGCCCUUGAGGUGCCCAAGAGCUACUGCAGAGCGAGGACAUGGAUGAGAGCCUGAGGUCCUCUGAGGAGUGUUGCUGAGCACCUGUGGGGCUGGAGAUGGCGGCGACAAGUGGCAUCAUGUGAAGACUCGAGAGUUGUUGGACACAGAGAGUGACCUGUCUCUCCUUGGCUUUCCAGAGCCAAUGGCUGUGUGGAACAUGGUGGCUGCCCUGGAUCAACAGCACCUUCUGCAGCUCCAGGGCGUCCAGAUUCACUCGCACCCUCGUCUCCUUUGAGAGCGUGCCCAGAGG